rnacentral:misc_RNA from 1 species
UCCCGGUUGGCCCGGGCAGUCUCGCAUGAAAAAUUCAACAUACGAUAAGGGUUGCGCUCGUUGCGGGACUUAACCCAACAUCUCACGACACGAGCUGACGACGGCCAUGCAACACCUGUCACUGCGCUCCCGAAGGCACUCUCUGAUUUCUCAAAGAUUCGCAGGAUGUCAAACCUUGGUAAGGUUCUUCGCGUAGCCUCGAAUUAAACCACAUCAUCCUCUGCUUGUGCGGGUCCCCGUCAAUUCCUUUGAGUUUUAAGCUUGCGCUCGUACUCCCCAGGCGGCACACUUAUCGCGUUAGCUUCGUAGCCCAGGGGGUCGAUACCCCAGACUGCUAGUGUGCAUCGUUUACGGCGUGGACUAC